rnacentral:rRNA from 1 species
UACGUAGGGGGCGAGCGUUGUCCGGAUUUAUUGGGCGUAAAGAGCGCGCAGGCGGUCGUACAAGUCGCGUGUGAAAGCCCCCGGCUCAACUGGGGAGGGUCACGCGAUACUGUUCGACUCGAAGACAGGAGAGGGAAGCGGAAUUCCCGGUGUAGUGGUGAAAUGCGUAGAUAUCGGGAGGAACACCAGUGGCGAAGGCGGCUUCCUGGCCUGUUCUUGACGCUGAGGCGCGAAAGCUAGGGUAGCAAACGGG